GCGGGCAUCAGCUUGAUCAAAAGACCCUCUUAGCAUGGAUUUCUGUGGAAAAUCAGAACAAACACCCAAAGCACUUUCAUGGCAAAUUGCAGGAAUGUUUUGUUCAGAUUGCAUGGGUUUUGAUUUGCUUUUCAUUGGGUACCUCAUCUGGGGUCGACCGAGCUUGCCUGAGUCUACUUGAAAAUCACAUGUCCUUACCUCAGUCUUGACUGAUUCACAUACCUUGGAAGGGCGUUUUACAACUUCACUGUAAAGGGCUUUACCGGAAGACCGUGGAAAACUGCUGCCAACUGCUUGACCAAGAGAACCUUUCUGCACUGAUUGCUGUGGAAAAUCACAAUAUGCAGGUAAAGUAUUCACAGAAAUUUCAUGUAUAUUUGUAAGCACUUUUUCUUUUUUUUCUGAGUUUUCAAGGGUUUUCAAGGGUUUGCAAGGGUUUUCAAGGGUUUUCAAGGGUUUGCAAGGGUUUUCAAGGGUUUUCAAGGGUUUGCAAGGGUUUUCAAGGGUUUUCAAGGGUUUGCAAGGGUUUUCAAGGGUUUGCUUAGGUGACAGAUGCAAGUUUGCAAGGUUUACUGAUGCAUUUACUGAUGCGAGUUUGCAAGGGUUUUCAAUGCUGCCAGCUUUUGGUGACAACAAUGCAUCAUUUUUUUUAAGAGGAUUCAGCGUAACCUCUGUA